UACGUAGGGGGCAAGCGUUGUCCGGAAUUAUUGGGCGUAAAGAGCGUGUAGGCGGUCCGGUAAGUCGGCUGUGAAAGUCCAGGGCUCAACCCUGGAAAGCGGGUGGAUACUGCCGGGCUAGAAUCCGGAAGAGGCGAGUGGAAUUCCUGGUGUAGCGGUGGAAUGCGCAGAUAUCAGGAGGAACACCAAUAGCGAAGGCAGCUCGCUGGGACGGUAUUGACGCUAAGGCGCGAAAGCGUGGGGAGCAAACAGG
rnacentral:rRNA from 1 species